GCUUCCCCCUUCUUCGUCUCUACGUUCAGCGUUGACCGCGCUGGAUGGCGGCCUGUCUGGGCGUUUUCUGCCUCCGGAGGACCGUGGAAGGGGGGAAAGAACCAGAGGAGUAAGGGAGCCUCCAGAUGUUGCCAAACUCCUGACUUCUCCUUCCAGCAGAAGAAUUUGAGGCAGAUCUCCGCUCACUUUUCUCUGGACGAAAAAGGAACAACCCAAUUCCAAAUCCAUCUUAACGUUUCCAAGAUAACAAACCAAGAGAAGCAGAACUCUCUAUCUCCAGCUAUUUGGACAAGAACAAGAACCAAGUGUGAAGCAAGAAAAAAUAAAC